GAAGCCUGCUCCUCCCUCUCCCACUCCCCCUGCUGGUGUUCCCUCUCUCGCUGUGUCUCUGCCAAAUAAAAUCUUAAAAAAAAGAGUAACAACCACAUUUCUAGCUUUUGAUGCAUGAGAAGAGCUGGAAACAGUUCGCUCAUGUUUACACUAGGCAACUGGUUCAAACUGAGAAGUGGGUGCCCCCCCUUAGGAGGACUGCACCCCCUGCUUCACCCUCCACUCCCGAGUCCUCCCUGUCUCUGAGCCUGAGGAUCAGCUGCCAUGCUUGUGCUGAUGUUUUUCCUGUAAGAGAAGCAGGUUUUGGUUCCUGUGUCUCUAUCAAAGUGCACAAAUGGAAGGUAAGCCAAGAGGCAUUCGGGUGUAAAGACACCAGCGACUAAGCACCCAGCCUCCGCGAACGUCCUCUUCUUUCCUGGACCCCAUAGCCAUUUGAAUUUUCCACUCAGGCCCUAAAGGAACCCUCAGAGAUUAAUGGCCUCACAGACUCUCAAAUGAACCUGAGGACUGUAUCUUUGCACCAUCUUCUCCAGUGAGUUACCUCCAUUCCACAAGGUCCUUGGCUCGGUCUCCUACCAUGUAAAAUCUUCCCUAACAACCAGCCAUCUAACCAACUCCAUCCAUCCCUCCAUCCAUUCCUGCAUCCAUCUCAUCAGCAUUUUUGGACGCCAGGCUGUGGGUUAGCUGUGUUAUGACCAAACCACCAUCAUUUCUCCCUCCUGUGGAUUUCUGUGACUCUCACUCAAUCAAUAUCUUAUACAAUGUCAUACACAUGGCAGGUGAUCGAUAAAUACUUAAUAACUAGGUAAGUGGCAUAGUCAUGCCCAUCUUAUCCCCCUAGUUCUGUUGUAAGAUCUCGGAGGGAGGGGUCCGGAUCAGAUCCAUCUUGGCACUGCCCUGGUGACCAGCACACUGCCUGGCACAUAGGAUCUGAGGAAAUACGUUCCAUAAGGAGGUGCCCCAGACAGGCAAUAGAUGCUGAGUUUCAGUCCAGUCCUGCGGUUGGAGGCGGCACCCCUGCUCCCCCCUCAACCCUGAGUGAUGCAGAGGAAUGGAGAGGCAGCCCCGAGAGAACAGAGAACAGAGGCCUUACUCAGUCCUGACAGUGAGGAGCACUUCACAGACCCCUCAACCUGGAGGCUCUGCUCGGGACUCAGCUGAAGCCGCGUCUAGGACCCAGCUGUAUCCAUGUGCCCUUGAACUCCUCCAGGAAGAAGACAGCCCAGACCGGGAGGAAAGCUACUCACACACUGUCUGCCAUCUCUGAAGUAGCCCAGGAAGGGGAAAAAAAUCACAAAAGAUCAGCGUUGAUUUCUUUUCCUCCUCAACAUUCCCUUUCUUUCUGAUUUUCUCUUAGACAGUAUCUCACUUCUUCAGUAUCGCGUGAGACUCACCUCUAUUUUGCCAUGUGUAUCCCCCCUCCGCCGAUGCCUUUUUAAAAGAUUUUUUAAGUCAUCUCUCCUUCCAAUGUGGGGCUUGAACUCACAACCCCAGGAUUAAGAGUGACACACUCCACCGACUGAGCCAGCCAGGCGCCCCUGUUACUGCUUUCUGGUGCCAUUCAAGACUUUUCCCUUCAUUCCUGGAACUUCUGGGCACAGAAAGUGAAGGAGGAUGAGCAGAGAGCAAUGUGAAUCGCUGACAAUAUGUAUACACGGUGAACAUUUUUAAAAAAUAUUUUAUUUAUUUAUCUGACAGAGAGAUAGCAAGAGCAGGAACACAAGCAGGGAGAGUGGGAGAGGGAGAAGCAGGGAGCCCGAUGCGGGGCUCGAUGCGGGGCUCGAUGCGGGGCUCGAUGCGGGGCUCGAUCCCAGGACCCUGGGAUCAUGACCUGAGCCGAAGGCAGACGCUUAACGACUGAGCCACCCAGGUGCCCCUACACGGUGAACAUUUACAAAGAAACUUCACACGUGUUAUCAAGGCUGCUUCGUAACUAGGAAGAACGAAAAGGGACCUUAGAGGACAUCGAGUCCGAUCCCCUUCACAGCGAAAUGAGGGAACAAGCCUACAAAUAGGAUGUGACUUGUUCAAGGUCACCCAGCAAGUGAGUGCCAGAGCUGGGGCCAGUUCUGGGUUUCCCAAUGCCUAUUCAUUUACACUUGCGGAAGCCAAAGCCCACAGAAGCCCGGGGACUUCGGUGAAGAAAAGGAUCUGUCCGACGGGGUUGGCUCCUUGGAGAUCAUCUACUGAAUCCAAUCCCUCUUUCAAUAGCGGUUUAGGCGAGAUGCCGGCCCUGGGCCGAGGUUUCUCGCAAUUUCCUGGCCCUGGAUCCAGACGGUACGGGCUGGACCGCAGCCUGAAUGAAUAACCGGGGAACCUGUGAUCGCAGGGUCCCGGGUGCUGAAGCACAUCUCCCCGCGCCGGCCUGGGGCGAUUACUCGGGGAAGGGCGCCUGUGUCCCGGCCUCUGAGGUUUCCUCGCCAGGCGGGAGCCUCGGAAUCUGGCCCCCGGCAGCUAACCGCUAGGGGAGUGGCGAGAGCCCGCUUGGGGGCGUGGCCCGAUAGUGGCGAGCCAAUCCCAAGCGGCGCCGUGAUAGGGGCGGGAAGCCCGCUUCCACACCCCGCCCAUUUUCUCUUCGCCGAGGGGUGAGGCUCCGCGGUGAUGUAGGCAACCGCCCGGGCGUCCUGCCCACCUGCUAAAGUUGCUACGUCCCGCCCCUCUUGGCACAAUCUUUCGGAAAGCGAAGUCCUUUUAAGGGGCAAAAGGACGGAGAUUUUGAUUGGUUGGCUGGAUGAAUGACCCUGGCGCUGGGAGAAGAGGAAUCACGCCCAGGUUGGACAAGAGGAGCCCGGGACGCACACUUUGCAGAAGCCGAGCAGAGAAAGGGCUUUGGUGAACUGAAAAUUCAGUGUUUCCAAUUCAAAGUAGUUGCCCACCUCCUAGGUGCGGGUGAAGGUAGUGGGAGUCCGAGAACCCCUGGGUCCUAUCACCUGAUAUUGUUAGUCAUACUUCUUAGUUGUAGUUUUGCGAGGAAUACAGGCAUUUAAAGUUUACAUUAAAAAAAAAAAGUUUACGUUUAACAUUUAUUGAGCACCUGCCACUGUGACAGACACUGUUCUAAGUUCUUGGACUCAGUGAACAAAACAGAUUUCUGCCUUCUUGUAGCUUAGACAAGGGAGACAAGACAUUGUGUAGUGUGCUAGAAGAUGGGACAAGGUUAUGGGGGGGGAAAGUACAGUAGUUCCUCUCACCUGUAGGUGUGUGUGUGUGUGUGUGAAUAUGUUCCAAGACCCCCAGUGGAUGCCUGAAACCCCAGAGAGUAUUGAACCUUACAUGUACUACGUUUUUUCCUAUUUAAUUUAUAAUUUAGGCAUAGUAAGAGAUUAACAACAACAAUAAUAAAAAGGAGCAAUUAUAACAAUAUACUGUAAUAAAAGUUAUGUGAAUGUGGUCUCUCUCUCUCAAAAUAUCUUAUUGUCCUGUACUCACCCUUCUUCUUAUGAUGAUGUGCCUCCAUGAUGAGCUGAAGUGAGGUGAAUGAGUAGGCAUUGCAAUGUAGACUACUACUGACCUUCAGAAGAAUUCUCUGUUUCCAGACUGUGGUUGACCGUGUGUAACUGAAACUGUGGAAAGUGAAACCAUGGCUAUGGGGGCACUACUGUAGAGCAAGGUAAAGGGAGCAAGUCUGGCCAGAUUACACACAAGUGAGAAAGUGAGAAUUGAAGGAGGAAAGAUGGUUCUGCUUCCACGGCCUCUCUGGUGGAAGAGCAUGGCAGGCAGAAGGAACAGCUGACGGGUGUUACUGAAGA